rnacentral:rRNA from 1 species
AGUGAACGCUGGCGGUAGGCCUAACACAUGCAAGUCGAACGGCAGCACAGUAAGAGCUUGCUCUUACGGGUGGCGAGUGGCGGACGGGUGAGGUAUACAUCGGAAUCUACUUUUUCGUGGGGGAUAACGUAGGGAAACUUACGCUAAUACCGCAUACGACCUACGGGUGAAAGCAGGGGAACUUCGCACCUUGCGCGAUUGAAUGAGCCGAUGUCGGAUUAGCUAGUUGGCGGGGUAAAGGCCCACCAAGGCGACGAUCCGUAGCUGGUCUGAGAGGAUGGUCAGCCACACUGGAACUGAGACACGGUCCAGACUCCUACGGGAGGCAGCAGUGGGGAAUAUUGGACAAUGGGCGCAAGCCUGAUCCAGCCAUACCGCGUGGGUGAAGAAGGCCUUCGGGUUGUAAAGCCCUUUUGUUGGGAAAGAAAAGCAGCAGGUUAAUACCCCGCUGUUCUGACGGUACCCAAAGAAUAAGCACCGGCUAACUUCGUG